rnacentral:rRNA from 1 species
UACGUAGGGGGCAAGCGUUGUCCGGAAUCAUUGGGCGUAAAGAGCUCGUAGGCGGUCUGUUGCGUCGGCUGUGAAAACCCGGGGCUCAACCCCGGGCCUGCAGCCGAUACGGGCAGACUAGAGUUCGGCAGGGGAGACUGGAAAUUCCUGGUGUAGCGGUGAAAUGCGCAGAUAUCAGGAGGAACACCGGUGGCGAAGGCGGGUCUCUGGGCCGAUACUGACGCUGAGGAGCGAAAGCGUGGGGAGCGAACAGG